UAUUACACAUUUUCACCACUUCCGUCAACCAUAAGAUACAAUAAAAAUAAAUGUUUUAUUUAGUGCUUUAAAUUACAAAAUCUCUUAUCUCCAUCUCCCACUUACUGUUUUAACAGCCUUAUUGGUACUUAACAUGGCAGUUUUUCUACUUUACAAAAGAAGGCUGUCUGAAAUAUAACACCUGUUUGAAACUAAAACACAAGUUUCACAGUUGUUCUUGUGCCACGUUUAAAAAGCUUCCCAGGCUCCAGCAGUUAAACAUUUUGAAAAACAAAGCUUGGCUUAUAGUGCUUUUGUAUCAAGUGUCUGGUUUGUGUAUGCUUUGUAUUUGUAUGUUGUACUUAAACUGUUUUUUUUUUUAGGGAAUAUAACAUUUUAGAUACUAAGUUCAUAAUUCUCAAAUGUGUAGGACAGCUAAAAGUCAGAACCAGCUAAGAAUGAAUACAGUUUAUACUUAAUGUGUCAGUUGGACUUAAAUUAUCUUUACCUUUCUGGUGUAUCUUACAAAAAUUAGUUUUUAGUGAUAAAAGAGACUUUUAAUUUAGUCCUAUUUUUACAAAUGAGGAAAUUGAUAUCCAUCAAGAUAACUCAAAUUUAAGUACUUUAUUUUCCCAGAUGUGAUGAAAUUUGAUAUUUUCUUUUUCCCUUCAUUUUUUUCUUUUCUUUUUUUUGAUUGGCACCUGAGCUAACAGCUGUUGCCAAUCUUUUUUUUCCCCCCCUGCUUUUUCCUCCCCAAAUCCCCCCAGUACAUAGUUGUAUAUUUUCGUUGUGGCAUGUGGGACGCCGCCUCAGCGCAGCCUGAUGAGCCGUGCUAUGUCCACGCCCAGGAUCCGAACCAGCGAAACCCUGGCGGAGUGCGAGAACUUAACCACUGAGCCCCAUCUUUUUCCCUUCAUUUUCAUAUGAAUCCAGCCACUUAAUCAAUGCUUGCUUUAAAAGUUGUUAGUUUUUGUUUUCAAUACUUCGUGUAUCCUGUCUCUCUCCUGGGUGAUCAUUAACACAGAGUAGGCACCUAAUUUUUGGUUCCCAUUCUUACUGCCCUCCCCAUUUUUUCCACCCCUGUACUCUAUAGACUUCCCUCUUGAUCAACAACUUUGCACUUUCUGUGGUUAACGUAACAGUGUAUACCCUGCUACAAAUACAUGUGUAUCAAAGUGUUCUAAAUUUGUUAUCCUUAACUUCUGGGGACAAGAAUGAGUUUUAUUUAUCAAACUUUGGUAUUAUAGAAGCCCUCAGCCGCUUUAAAGAUGACCAGGGAUUAGCAUAGUUAAACUGAGAAGGAAAUUAAGACUUCGUUAAACUUUCUUCAAGCUACAGAGUAAACUGACCUUAAGUUGCACUUAAGUAGUACAUUACUUCCUGAUUCAUAGCUUUAGGCCUAAAUAGCCUUUUCUGAAAUUAAAAACAAAACGGAAAACAUUGAAAGUAGUAGGUUUAUGUCAGGAAAAUCAAAAUGAUCAUGAGACCUUAAUAGCUAUUACAUACCGCUAUUUCUGUGUAUCUCUGCCUUUUUUCUAUCAGCUAAAUGGACAUUAUCAAAUUAUGUUUAAGGAUAAGGACUAAACUCAGUUUAAUUGGAGGCCUAGAUCAAAGUGUAGUCAGUUUUUUUUUUUUUUUAAGAUUAAACUCUUUAAAUGUAUGG
ensembl:lncRNA